rnacentral:snoRNA from 1 species
GCCUGGUACAUACUACAGGCUGCGUUCUUACACUGAUUGUAUAAAAAGAGGAAGGGGAGUAGACCUACCCUAUCACUACCGAUCCAGUGUCUGGUCUGCAAUGUGAAUGGAAGGGUGUGG